CAUGAACCCCUUGAUAACCAACGCUCGUUAAUGGUACUAGGGAUCCUUCCACACCUGUAUCAUGACCCCAUUGAUAACCAACACUCGUUACAGGUACUUGAACACCUGUAUCAUGACCUCCUUGAUAACCAACCCUUGUUACAGGUACUUGCACACCUGUAUCAUGACCCCC